rnacentral:rRNA from 1 species
UACGUAGGGUGCAAGCGUUAAUCGGAAUUACUGGGCGUAAAGCGUGCGCAGGCGGCUAUGCAAGACAGAUGUGAAAUCCCCGGGCUCAACCUGGGAACUGCAUUUGUGACUGCAUGGCUAGAGUACGGUAGAGGGGGAUGGAAUUCCGCGUGUAGCAGUGAAAUGCGUAGAUAUGCGGAGGAACACCGAUGGCGAAGGCAAUCCCCUGGACCUGUACUGACGCUCAUGCACGAAAGCGUGGGAG